AACGAACGCUGGCGGCAGGCCUAACACAUGCAAGUCGAGCGAGACCUUCGGGUCUAGCGGCGGACGGGUUAGUAACGCGUGGGAACGUGCCCUUCUCUGCGGAAUAGCCACUGGAAACGGUGAGUAAUACCGCAUACGCCCUUCCGGGGGAAAGAGUUUAUCGGAGAAGGAUCGGCCCGCGUUAGAUUAGAUAGUUGGUGGGUAACGGCCUACCAAGUCUACGAUCUAUAGCUGGUUUUAGAGGAUGAUCAGCAACACUGGGACUGAGACACGGCCCAGACUCCUACGGGAGGCAGCAGUGGGGAAUCUUAGACAAUGGGCGCAAGCCUGAUCUAGCCAUGCCGCGUGUGUGAUGAAGGUCUUAGGAUCGUAAAGCACUUUCGCCAGGGAUGAUAAUGACAGUACCUGGUAAAGAAACCCCGGCUAACUCCGUG
rnacentral:rRNA from 1 species